rnacentral:rRNA from 1 species
UACGGAGGGGGCUAGCGUUGUUCGGAAUUACUGGGCGUAAAGCACACGUAGGCGGCUUUGCAAGUUAGAGGUGAAAGCCCGGGGCUCAACUCCGGAAUUGCCUUUAAAACUGCAUCGCUAGAAUUGUGGAGAGGUAAGUGGAAUUCCGAGUGUAGAGGUGAAAUUCGUAGAUAUCGGGAGGAACACCAGUGGCGAAGGCGGCGAUCUGGGAAGAUACUGACGCUGAGGUGCGAAAGCGUGGGGAGCAAACAGG